UACGGAGGGUGCAAGCGUUAAUCGGAAUUACUGGGCGUAAAGCGCGCGCAGGCGGUCUUGCAAGUCGGAUGUGAAAUCCCCGGGCUCAACCGGGGAACUGCAUUCGAAACUGGGAGACUAGAGUAUUGUAGAGGGGGAUAGAAUUCCGGGUGUAGCGGUGAAAUGCGUAGAGAUCUGGAGGAAUACCGGUGGCGAAGGCGGCCCCCUGGACAAAGACUGACGCUCAGGUGCGAAAGCGUGGGGAGCAAACAGG
rnacentral:rRNA from 1 species